CUUUAGAAGACCAGUGUUGUGCUGUGGGUUGGGGUCUGCAGAGCUGAAGGCCAGAGUGGGCUUGGUCAGCAAUGCAGAGGGGUCGCUGGGAACACAGCCACCCUCCCAGAUGUUGAAAUCAACAGGACUGAUUUUAUGGAAAAGGCUCUCAGAAAGGAGCUGAGGGAGAUCAGAAGAGCAGGUGACUUGGAGCUGGAUGGUUGACGGCCCUGAAGGUCAGGCCAAGGGACCUGGCCUUUACUUGAGGCAAACUGUGGCGCUCACCUGCCUGGAAGGCUCACUGGCCGUCUCCUGAGGCCACGAGAGGCCAGCUCCAGGGAGCCGGGGCCUCUGCCUGCCUGGCCCACUGCUCAGCCCCAAGACGGCGCCUUGGCCUGAGGAGUGCACGCAAGACAGACUUGUGGGCUGAACAGAGUCUGUAAACGUGGAUGAUGGCCGCUGCUACGAUCUCAGGCCACGUCAGAAAGAACCCCACACACUCUUUAUUGAGGACCUAUCGUGUGUAAGUCUUGGAGACAGAGAAGUACCAGGUGAACGAAUGAACAGACUGUGGCACAUCCAGACAAUGGAACAGUACUCAGUGAUCAAGAGGCCGUGAGCCGUCCAGCCGUGAAAAGGCGUGGAGGAACCUCGCGUGCACAUCACGAACUGAAAGAAGCCCGUCUGAGGCGGCACCCGGUGUGUGGGCCCAGCUAUACGAUGUUCUGGAAAAGGCUAAACUGUGGAGACAGUGAGAAGGUCAGCGGCUGCCGGAACUUCGCGGGGAUGGGGGGAUGACCUGCUGGAGCAGAGGGGGUUUUAGAGCCGUGGCACUCUUCUGUGUGACGCCACGAUGGUGGAUCCGUGUCGUUACACCCUGGACGUUAUACAUCCAGACCCGUGAAACGCACAACACCAAGCACGAACCUAAUGCAAAUUGACUUUAGCUGAUAAUGUAUCAACGCUGGCUCAUCAAUUGUGCAAAAA